CCUACGGGGGGCAGCAGUGGGGAAUAUUGGACAAUGGGGGGAACCCUGAUCCAGCCAUGCCGCGUGUGUGAAGAAGGCCCUCGGGUUGUAAAGCACUUUCAGUGAGGAAGAACGCCUGGUGGUUAAUACCCAUCAGGAAAGACAUCACUCACAGAAGAAGCACCGGCUAACUCCGUGCCAGCAGCCGCGGUAAUACGGAGGGUGCGAGCGUUAAUCGGAAUUACUGGGCGUAAAGCGCGCGUAGGUGGCUUGAUAAGCCGGUUGUGAAAGCCCCGGGCUCAACCUGGGAACGGCAUCCGGAACUGUCAAGCUAGAGUGCAGGAGAGGAAGGUAGAAUUCCCGGUGUAGCGGUGAAAUGCGUAGAGAUCGGGAGGAAUACCAGUGGCGAAGGCGGCCUUCUGGACUGACACUGACGCUGAGGUGCGAAAGCGUGGGUAGCAAACAGGAUUAGAUACCCCAGUAGUC
rnacentral:rRNA from 1 species